rnacentral:rRNA from 1 species
GUAGCUUGCUACUUUGCUGACGAGCGGCGGACGGGUGAGUAAUGCUUGGGAACAUGCCUUGAGGUGGGGGACAACAGUUGGAAACGACUGCUAAUACCGCAUAAUGUCUACGGACCAAAGGGGGCUUCGGCUCUCGCCUUUAGAUUGGCCCAAGUGGGAUUAGCUAGUUGGUGAGGUAAUGGCUCACCAAGGCGACGAUCCCUAGCUGGUUUGAGAGGAUGAUCAGCCACACUGGGACUGAGACACGGCCCAGACUCCUACGGGAGGCAGCAGUGGGGAAUAUUGCACAAUGGGCGCAAGCCUGAUGCAGCCAUGCCGCGUGUGUGAAGAAGGCCUUCGGGUUGUAAAGCACUUUCAGUCAGGAGGAAAGCGUGGUGGUUAAUACCCAUCAUGUGUGACGUUACUGACAGAA